GGGAGAGGGGUUCCCUUCCUCUGACUUGCUGAAAGGAGUACGGAGUGCUACCGACUAGCACACGUGGGGGCUCUGGGGGUGCUGUGGGCAGCCUUGUCGCCGUGCCCACGUGCGAGCGCAGUCACCCCUGGCUUGAAGCAUCCCUCGGUCCACUCUGGGCGCUCCUCGCAGGGACCUUCAGCGACUGCCGGACGGAGAACGGGGUGUUUGGGGCGCACCCCGGCCCGCAAAGCGCCGGGGAGGACAACAAAGGGAAGCGUGGACGGAGGAAGAGCUUCGCGGUGCCGGGGAGUCGGGGCCCGAGGUCAGUUUCUCCAAGUUCUCGCCGAGAGCGGCGGCAGAUCGGGUCGCGGGAGCCCGGGGCGUACGGCUCUCACCCGCGACCCCAGUCCACGCCAACCUGCGCCAGCGGCGGCCAAGUUACUCGGCACCCCCCGGUUUCCCCGUGUGACGAAGGAUUCCUGGAGUCUCCGGGUUUCGCGCGCCCGCUGGGCCGGCUGCGCAUCCUUUGUCCAGCAGGCCUGGAGAGGCUCCUGGCGCCGGGGGCGCGCGGGCAGGAGGGGGCCCCGGGACGGCGGAGGGUGGCCGGGAAAGGGGGGAGCGAGCGGCGCCGCCAGUUCGGAGUAGCAACAGGUUGUGCCCUGUAGCCCGCGGCAGCUGCUGAAACUCGCCCCUGCCCCAUCGCGUGGAAGAAGGUUUUCCCAGGUUCCGGAGACUGGCGUCUGAGCUUGGUUAAUUACAGCAGGUUGCCUGAGCCGGAUGACCGUUUUCGAAAGACUUGAAUGUAGGCAACUUCCUAUUAUUCAACGCUUCCCUGAUAGCUCAGCUGGUAGAGAAUCUGCCUGCAGUGCAGGAGACCCCGGAUUGAUUCCUGGAUCUGGAAGAUCCCCUGGAGAAGGAACAGGUGACCCACUCUAGUAUUCUGGGCUGGAGAAUUCCAUAGACUGCAUAGACCAUGGGGUCAAAAAGAGUGGGACACAACUGAGUGACUUUCACUUUCACUUUAUGAGUUCCAUGCUGGACUAUUC
ensembl:lncRNA